rnacentral:rRNA from 1 species
GAUGAAGAACGUAGCGAAAUGCGAUACCUGGUGUGAAUUGCAGAAUCCCGCGAACCAUCGAGUCUUUGAACGCAAGUUGCGCCCGAGGCCACUCGGCCGAGGGCACGCCUGCCUGGGCGUCA